GUUCGGGUUGUCAUGCCAAUGGCACUGCCCGGUAGCUAAAUGCGGAAGAGAUAAGUGCUGAAAGCAUCUAAGCACGAAACUUGCCCCGAGAUGAGUUCUCCCUGAGACUUAAAGUCUCCUGAAGGAACGUUGAAGACGACGACGUUGAUAGGCCGGGUGUGUAAGCGCAGCGAUGCGUUGAGCUAACCGGUACUAAUGAACCGUGAGGCUUAACCUUAC
rnacentral:rRNA from 1 species